rnacentral:tRNA from 1 species
CUUCUCGUGGCGUGGUUGGCAACGCGCCUGUCUAAUGAGUAGGACUCGUGAGUUCGAGUCUCACCGAGGAGA